UGCAGUCGAGGGGCAGCACGAAUAGCAAUAUUUGGUGGCGACCGGCAAACGGGUGCGGAACACGUACGCAACCUUCCCGAAACAGGUGAAUAGCCCUCCGAAAGGAGGAUUAAUACACCGUAAGAUAUAGAGGUGGCAUCAUUUUUAUAUUAUAGGUAGCAAUACCGGUUUUGGAUGGGCGUGCGCCUGAUUAGGUAGUUGGCGGGGUAACGGCCCACCAAGCCUCCGAUCAGUAACUGGUGUGAGAGCACGACCAGUCACACGGGCACUGAGACACGGGCCCGACUCCUACGGGAGGCAGCAGUAAGGAAUAUUGGUCAAUGGACGGAAGUCUGAACCAGCCAUGCCGCGUGAAGGAUGAAGGCCCUCUGGGUUGUAAACUUCUUUUAUCUGGGACGAAAAAAGGGGAAUCUUCCUCACUUGACGGUACCAGAGGAAUAAGCACCGGCUAACUCCGUGCCAGCAGCCGCGGUAAUACGGAGGGUGCAAGCGUUAUCCGGAUUUACUGGGUUUAAAGGGUGCGUAGGUGGGUAAGAAAGUCAGUGGUGAAAUCUCCGGGCUUAACCCGGAAACUGCCAUUGAUACUAUUUAUCUUGAAUACUUUGGAGGUAAGCGGAAUAUGUCAUGUAGCGGUGAAAUGCUUAGAUAUGACAUAGAACACCAAUUGCGAAGGCAGCUUACUACACAGUUAUUGACACUGAGGCACGAAAGCGUGGGGAUCAAACAGGAUUAGAUACCCUGGUAGUCCACGCCCUAAACGAUGGAUACUCGACAUUAGCGAUACACUGUUAGUGUCUGAGCGAAAGCAUUAAGUAUCCCACCUUGGUAGUACGAUCGCAAGAUUGAACUCAAUGAAUGACGGGGG
rnacentral:rRNA from 1 species